UGCAAGUCGAGCGGACAGAUGGGAGCUUGCUCCCUGAUGUUAGCGGCGGACGGGUGAGUAACACGUGGGUAACCUGCCUGUAAGACUGGGAUAACUCCGGGAAACCGGGGCUAAUACCGGAUGCUUGUUUGAACCGCAUGGUUCAAGCAUAAAAGGUGGCUUCGGCUACCACUUACAGAUGGACCCGCGGCGCAUUAGCUAGUUGGUGAGGUAAUGGCUCACCAAGGCAACGAUGCGUAGCCGACCUGAGAGGGUGAUCGGCCACACUGGGACUGAGACACGGCCCAGACUCCUACGGGAGGCAGCAGUAGGGAAUCUUCCGCAAUGGACGAAAGUCUGACGGAGCAACGCCGCGUGAGUGAUGAAGGUUUUCGGAUCGUAAAGCUCUGUUGUUAGGGAAGAACAAGUACCGUUCGAAUAGGGCGGUACCUUGACGGUACCUAACCAGAAAGCCACGGCUAACUACGUGCCAGCAGCCGCGGUAAUACGUAGGUGGCAAGCGUUGUCCGGAAUUAUUGGGCGUAAAGGGCUCGCAGGCGGUUUCUUAAGUCUGAUGUGAAAGCCCCCGGCUCAACCGGGGAGGGUCAUUGGAAACUGGGGAACUUGAGUGCAGAAGAGGAGAGUGGAAUUCCACGUGUAGCGGUGAAAUGCGUAGAGAUGUGGAGGAACACCAGUGGCGAAGGCGACUCUCUGGUCUGUAACUGACGCUGAGGAGCGAAAGCGUGGGGAGCGAACAGGAUUAGAUACCCUGGUAGUCCACGCCGUAAACGAUGAGUGCUAAGUGUUAGGGGGUUUCCGCCCCUUAGUGCUGCAGCUAACGCAUUAAGCACUCCGCCUGGGGAGUACGGUCGCAAGACUGAAA
rnacentral:rRNA from 1 species